AAUAAAGUGCCUGAUAAAAGGGUUACUUUGAUAGAGUAAAUAAUGCAGUCCACCCUGCCUUUAUU
rnacentral:tRNA from 1 species